UACGUAGGAUCCGAGCGUUGUCCGGAUUUACUGGGUGUAAAGGGUGCGCAGGCGGGCUGGUGAGUCUGGGGUGAAAUCUCGCCGCUUAACGGCGAAACUGCCUUAGAUACUGUCAGUCUUGAAUCAGCGAGAGGUUCGUGGAAUUCCGAGUGUAGCAGUGAAAUGUGUAGAUAUUCGAAAGAACACCAGUGGCGAAGGCAGCGAACUGGCGCUCGAUUGACGCUCAGGCACGAAAGCAUGGGGAUCAAACAGG
rnacentral:rRNA from 1 species